GAACGCGAAGAACCUUACCAAGGCUUAAAUGGGAAUUGACAGGUUUAGAAAUAGACUUUUCUUCGGACAAUUUUCAAGGUGCUGCAUGGUUGUCGUCAGCUCGUGCCGUGAGGUGUUAGGUUAAGUCCUGCAACGAGCGCAACCCCUGUCACUAGUUGCCAUCAUUCAGUUGGGGACUUAGUGAGACUGCCUACGCAAGUAGAGAGGAAGGUGGGGACGACGUCAAAUCAUCACGGCCCUUACGCCUUGGGCCACACACGUAAUACAAUGGCCGGUACAGAGGGCAGCUACACAGCGAUGUGAUGCGAAUCUCGAAAGCCGGUCUCAGUUCGGAUUGGAGUCUGCAACUCGACUCUAUGAAGCUGGAAUCGCUAGUAAUCGCGCAUCAGCCAUGGCGCGGUGAAUACGUUCCCGGGUCUUGUACACACC
rnacentral:rRNA from 1 species